CGGAGGGUGCAAGCGUUAUCCGGAUUCACUGGGUUUAAAGGGUGCGUAGGUGGGCAGGUAAGUCAGUGGUGAAAUCUCCGGGCUUAACUCGGAAACUGCCAUUGAUACUAUCUGUCUUGAAUACCGUGGAGGUCAGCGGAAUAUGUCAUGUAGCGGUGAAAUGCUUAGAUAUGACAUAGAACACCUAUUGCGAAGGCAGCUGGCUACACGAAUAUUGACACUGAUGCACGAAAGCGUGGGGAUCAAACAGGAUUAGAUACCCUGGUAGUCCACGCCCUAAACGAUGGAUACUCGACAUACGCGAUACACUGUGUGUGUCUGAGCGAAAGCAUUAAGUAUCCCACCUGGGAAGUACGAUCGCAAGAUUG
rnacentral:rRNA from 1 species